GCUGGUUCGACCCGCCAAAGAAGAUUCCAAUUGGAAAUGGUCUGUGCCUGUACCUAACAAUGACAAUACCGUGUUAGCAGAAGAGUCUGCAACGGCAGAUGAGGCGAAAGAAAAGACUCUCGUAAUAAAGCUGAAAUGAAGCUCGAA